GACAGAAUGAAAAAUGAUGGUCAGACGCAGAGAGGACACAGGAGAGACAGUCAGCUAAAAGCAAUUUCCUGUCAAAAUCUGUCUGUCAGUUACAGUCAGCUGAAGGGCAAAACGAAAAGCACAGACAAAGCCACAGAGUUUUUGCCUUCUCCAAAUUACUAGGAUUUCAAGAAGAUUCAGCAAAGUACUGUAAAUGAAGCAGAUGUGAGGCCAAGAUUACCUUGAGGUUCAAGCCCACCCAGGCGGAACAGCAUCUCCACAUUAGCCACGUCUUUCAGUCCAACCUAAACUCGGACCAUCCAGCAACAAUUAUUAAGAAAAACGAAGAAC